GCGACAGGCUUAACACAUGCAAGUCGAGGGGCAGCGGGGAGUAGCAAUACUUUGCCGGCGACCGGCGCACGGGUGCGUAACGCGUAUGCAACCUACCUACAAGAGGGGGAUAGCCCGGCGAAAGUCGGAUUAAUACCGCAUGAAACAGGGGUUCCGCAUGGGAAUAUUUGUUAAAGAUUUAUCGCUUGUAGAUGGGCAUGCGUUCCAUUAGAUAGUUGGUGAGGUAACGGCUCACCAAGUCUACGAUGGAUAGGGGUUCUGAGAGGAAGGUCCCCCACACUGGUACUGAGACACGGACCAGACUCCUACGGGAGGCAGCAGUGAGGAAUAUUGGUCAAUGGUCGAGAGACUGAACCAGCCAAGUCGCGUGAAGGAUGAAGGAUCUAUGGUUCGUAAACUUCUUUUAUAAGGGAAUAAAAAGAUCUACGUGUAGGUUAUUGCAUGUACCUUAUGAAUAAGCAUCGGCUAACUCCGUGCCAGCAGCCGCGGUAAUACGGAGGAUGCGAGCGUUAUCCGGAUUUAUUGGGUUUAAAGGGUGCGUAGGUGGUUUUUUAAGUCAGUGGUGAAAGUUUGUCGCUCAACGAUAAAAUUGCCAUUGAAACUGGGAGACUUGAGUAUGUUUGAGGUAGGCGGAAUGCGUGGUGUAGCGGUGAAAUGCUUAGAUAUCA
rnacentral:rRNA from 1 species